rnacentral:rRNA from 1 species
AGAGUUUGAUCAUGGCUCAGAUUGAACGCUGGCGGCAGGCCUAACACAUGCAAGUCGAGCAAUAACGGUCUUCGGACUUAUUAAAGCGGCGGACGGGUGAGUAACGCGUAGGAAUCUGCCUAGUAGUGGGGGACAACUUAGGGAAACUUAAGCUAAUACCGCAUACGCCCUACGGGGGAAAGCAGGGGAUCUUCGGACCUUGCGCUAUUGGAUGAGCCUGCGUCGGAUUAGCUAGUUGGUGAGGUAAUGGCUUACCAAGACUACAAUCCGUAGCUGGUUUGAGAGGAUGAUCAGCCACACUGGGACUGAGACACGGCCCAGACUCCUACGGGAGGCAGCAGUAGGGAGUAUUGGACAAUGGGCGCAAGCCUGAUCCAGCAAUACCGCGUGUAUGAAGAAGGCUCUAGGGUUGUAAAGCACUUUCAGUAGGGAGGAAAGGUUAUAGUUUAAUACGCUAUAGCUGUGACGUUACCUACAGAAGAAGGACCGGCUAACUCCGUGCCAGCAGCCGCGGUAAUACGGAGGGUGCGAGCGUUAAUCGGAAUUACUGGGCGUAAAGAGUACGUAGGUGGUUAAAUCAGUCGGAUGUGAAAGCCCCAGGCUUAACUUGGGAAUUGCAUUCGAUACUGUUCAACUAGAGUGCAGCAGAGGAAGGUGGAAUUCCAGGUGUAGCGGUGAAAUGCGUAGAUAUCUGGAGGAACAUCAGUGGCGAAGGCGACCUUCUGGGCUGACACUGACGCUCAUGUACGAAAGCGUGGGGAGCAAACAGGAUUAGAUACCCUGGUAGUCCACGCCGUAAACGAUGUCUACUAGCCGUUGGGGAGCUUGACUCUUUAGUGGCGCAGCUAACGCACUAAGUAGACCGCCUGGGGAGUACGGCCGCAAGGUUAAAACUCAAAUGAAUUGACGGGGGCCCGCACAAGCGGUGGAGCAUGUGGUUUAAUUCGAAGCAACGCGAAGAACCUUACCCGCUCUUGACAUCCACAGAACUUUCCAGAGAUGGAUCGGUGCCUUCGGGAACUGUGAGACAGGUGCUGCAUGGCUGUCGUCAGCUCGUGUUGUGAAAUGUUGGGUUAAGUCCCGUAACGAGCGCAACCCUUGUCCUUAUUUACCAGCACGUUAUGGUGGGCACUCUAAGGAGACUGCCGGUGAUAAGCCGGAGGAAGGUGGGGACGACGUCAAGUCAUCAUGGCCCUUACGCCUGGGGCCACACACGUGCUACAAUGGCAAGUACAAAGGGCUGCAAUCUCGCGAGAGGGAGCUAAUCCCACAAAACCGGUCGUAGUCCGGAUCGGAGUCUGCAACUCGACUCCGUGAAGUCGGAAUCGCUAGUAAUCGCGGAUCAGAAUGCCGCGGUGAAUACGUUCCCGGGCCUUGUACACACCGCCCGUCACACCAUGGGAGUGGGUUGCACCAGAAGUAGUUAGCUUAACCUUCGGGAGGGCGAUUACCACGGUGUGGUUCAUGACUGGGGUGAAGUCGUAACAAGGU